UACGUAGGGUGCAAGCGUUGUCCGGAAUUAUUGGGCGUAAAGAGCUCGUAGGCGGUCUGUCGCGUCGGCUGUGAAAUCCCGAGGCUCAACCUCGGGUCUGCAGUCGAUACGGGCAAACUGGAGUACUGCAGGGGAGACUGGAGUUCCUGGUGUAGCGGUGAAAUGCGCAGAUAUCAGGAGGAACACCGGUGGCGAAGGCGGGUCUCUGGGCAGUAACUGACGCUGAGGAGCGAAAGCGUGGGGAGCGAACAGG
rnacentral:rRNA from 1 species